AAGUUGCAACGAUAAGGGCAUUAACUCAUCAAUGCUACAAACGUUAACUUUCUCAACUCCUCAGUACAAUACAAUUAAGUUGCAACGACAGACAAUUUUCAACAUCACACCAACAUGAUCGAUCUAGAAAUGACACUCUAGAGAGAUCGAUCUAGAAAUGGGGAGACCACCUUGUUGUGAGAAAGUUGGUUUAAACAGGGGG
rnacentral:lncRNA from 1 species